GGUUAAUGUUUAUAUUGGCCCGUCUUAUUUAUUUUAUCGUUUUUUUU
rnacentral:sRNA from 1 species